GUGUCAUGCAAGAAGGAGGCGGCGGCGGCGGCGGCGGCGGCCGGAGCUGGAGGGGGAGGAGGGGAGGAACCUGAUCCUCGGUAGCGAAGGGCUGGAGGCAAACACCGAGCUCCCCCUGAGCCGCCUGGGAGCAGGGAGGGUUCUGCUACCCUGAGGUGCCCUCCCCGCGGGGCAGAGGGGACCAGCCCAACAUGGCUUCCAACACAGAAACCAGAAGGACCCAAUAAGAGACCAAAGACACGACUGGUAAUACAGAAAGGAGGGUGAUGCUGUGUGCAAGGCAGAUACAAGAUGGUUUUUCCAUAAGAGGAAGUGAUCAUGGCAACCAUGACCAAGAGGCUGUUGGGAAGGUGGGAUGACCUAGGAUUGACCUUGGACUUGACAUCACAGAAGCCAUUUCAACCUUCACAGGGUUUCCUCAGCAGUGCCCCAGAGCAGGGACUGCGCCAGCCGGCAGAAACAGCUAGUUCUUGUCUGCAGUGAAGAAUAAUUGGAAGCAUGGUGCCUGUUUCUUUUCCUGUGGGAGGAAGUCACAGCAUGUGCUUCUGAACCUGUGCUUGCCUUGAGGAACAACGGCAUGACACGGGGAUGUGGACGCUUUCAACCAGAAGAUUCUGUACGAUAGUGUCGGCACACAAGGAGUGUUCCGCUGACUGACCUCUUUUUGUUUUCAAAUGAAGAGGAGCCAAGAAUAGGACAGCUUGGGAAGCUCAUCCUCGUCUACGGCCAAACGUUGGUUUCUCAUUUCUAGAAUGAAAGAUGUGAUGACUUAGGGAAAACUGGGAUCUUAGUAACUGUGGUGGGCACUGAGCCUUGCCGUCCACAAGAGAAAGCUUGCUGCUCGAGAUGUGAGUCUUCAGAUGUUCCUGCCGCCAUAUCUGACAGCUGCUGCCAAGAUUCCCUGGUGGGAUGGACUCUUAUACCUCGACAACCAGAAGCCCAAGUAAACUCUUCUAUAAAUUGAAUGACUCAUGCUUAAAAAAAACUAUCUUUA
rnacentral:lncRNA from 1 species